rnacentral:rRNA from 1 species
UACGUAGGGUGCGAGCGUUGUCCGGAUUUAUUGGGUUUAAAGGGUGCGUAGGCGGGAUGUUAAGUUAGUCUUUAAAGCCAGCCGCUUAACGGUUUGGAUUCGGAUUGAUACUGGCAUUCUUGAGAGGCUUGGGGCCGGCGGAAUUUGUGGUGUAGCGGUGAAAUGCAUAGAUACCACAAGGAACACCGAUCGCGUAGGCAGCUGGCCAAGGCCUUUCUGACGCUGAGGCACGAAAGUGCGGGGAGCAAACAGG